GACGAACGCUGGCGGCGUGCUUAACACAUGCAAGUCGAACGGAAAGGCCCUGCUUUUGUGGGGUGCUCGAGUGGCGAACGGGUGAGUAACACGUGAGUAACCUGCCUUUGACUUUGGGAUAACUUCAGGAAACUGGGGCUAAUACCGGAUAGGAGCUCCUGCUGCAUGGUGGGGGUUGGAAAGUUUCGGCGGUUGGGGAUGGACUCGCGGCUUAUCAGCUUGUUGGUGGGGUAGUGGCUUACCAAGGCUUUGACGGGUAGCCGGCCUGAGAGGGUGACCGGCCACAUUGGGACUGAGAUACGGCCCAGACUCCUACGGGAGGCAGCAGUGGGGAAUAUUGCACAAUGGGCGGAAGCCUGAUGCAGCAACGCCGCGUGCGGGAUGACGGCCUUCGGGUUGUAAACCGCUUUCGCCUGCGACGAAGCGUGAGUGACGGUAAUGGGUAAAGAAGCACCGGCUAACUACGUG
rnacentral:rRNA from 1 species